CCCUAUGGGGUGCAGCAGGCGCGAAAACUUGACAAUGCGAGCAAUCGUGAUCAGGGGACUCCAAUUCGGAUCAAUUAAUUUUGAGCUCUGAACCGACUCUAAAUAGGUCGGGUAAUAGGGGCGGGAAAUAUCGGUGCCAGCCGCCGCGGUAAUACCGAAGCCCCAAGUGGUCGUCGUUAUUAUUGGGCCUAAAACGUCCGUAGCCGGUUUGGUACAUUCGUGGGUAAAUCAGACAGCUUAACUGUCUGAAUUCUGCGAGGACGGCCAGACUUGAGACCGGGAGAGGUGUAGGGUACCUGCGGGGUAGGGGUAAAAUCCUGUCAUCCCGUAGGGACCACCUGUUGCGAAGGCGCUACACUAGAACGGAUCUGACGGUCAGGGACGAAGCCUAGGGGCACGAACCGGAUUAGAUACCCGGGUAGUCCUAGGUGUAAACGCUGUGGACUUGGUGUCGGGAGUCUUUCGAGGACUCUCGGUGCCGGAGUGAAGAUGUUAAGUCCACUGCCUGGGGAGUACGGUCGCAAGGCUGAAACUUAAAGGAAUUGGCGGGGGAGCACUGCAACGAGAGGAGCGUGCGGUUUAAUUGGAUUCAACGCCGGAAAACUCACCAAAGCCGACUGUUAUAUGAAGACCAGCGUAACGAGCUUGUCGGAUUUCAGAGAGUGGUGCAUGGGCCAA
rnacentral:rRNA from 1 species